GUUCAUUGAAAACUAUUCCUGGCACUGGUCUUGAGUUAUGUGGGGGUUAAGAUUUGCUGCUCGGAACCAUUAGGGGGUCUCAGAUUAUCACCUGCUACUCCAGUGUAGGAGGGUGAAACCCAGGCCCUGACAGCC